AAUCAACGCUGGCGGCGUGCCUAACACAUGCAAGUCGCACGAGAAAGAGGGGGCAACCCCUUGAGUAAAGUAGGCGUACGGGUGAGUAACACGUGACUAACCUACCUCCGAAUGGGGAAGUAACACCGGGAAACCGGUGCUAAUACCGCAUAACAUCUACGGAUCAAAGCAGCAAUGCGUUUGGAGAGGGGGUCGGCGGCUGAUUAGCUAGUUGGUAAGGUAAUGGCUUACCGAGGCGACGAUCAGUAUCCUGCCUGAGAGGCGCACGGACACACUGGAACUGAAACACGGUCCAGACUCCUACGGGAGGCAGCAGUGGGGAAUUUUGCGCAAUGGGGGAAACCCUGACGCAGCAACGCCGCGUGGAGGAUGAAGGUCUUU
rnacentral:rRNA from 1 species